UUCCCCAAUUUUUAGGCCUAAUCAAAAAGGAAAAUUCAGCGCCCGGACUUAUCUAGCUAGGGUCGACAAGAAGCUCAGGCUUCCCGAAUCAUCCGCAAACAAAAACCCAGUUUGCCGAAGUUCUUGAGAGUAACAUGUUUGAGAUCAUUUAAUUCAUACAGUUGCAGAUCUGCUGGUUUUACUUUUUGAAUCACGACAUCUUCUAUGUUCUGGAGGAUUCUCUCACCGGAGUCGAAACAAGGAACAUACAUACAUGCAUACACACACACACAGGGGUAUAUAACUGCACUACUUUCCUUUAAAUUUUUUCAAAAGAGCAAUGCAAACGUGGGAGGAGAAAUCCCCAGUUCUAGUUGACGAUGGACAUGCAUGGAGAAAGUAUAUAUGGACAAAAGAAGACAAUGAAUGCCAAAUACCAAAGGGACUAUUACAGGUGUAGUCACAAGCACAACCAGUGAUCGAUGUGGAGGGAUGAAACAAGUUCAAAGAAUACGAGACAAGCCUCCUUUAUACCGAACCAUCUAUUUUGGCAUAUCCAAGUGAAGCAAACCCUAGCAUCCCAAUCUGAGCAUGUCACUGCUACGACUGUGUUAUCCUCAUCAACCACCUUGGAUCGGGUUUCUGUUGUCAAGCUUCAAUAUGUUGAUCAAAGUGGAUGAUGUUAUUUUAAAUUGUUUUAAUUAUGACAUUGUAACGUUUUAAUUUGGUCCGUGAUUUGGUUUUAUAACUCAUCAGAGAGAGAUACCAGGGCAACAACCUUCUUCUUUUCUUGGAUAAUUACUACAUGCCUCUCGACGUGUAAAAAAAUAAUUACAAUGAAAACAAGAAAGAUUUACUUUUCA